CAGCAGUGGGGAAUAUUGCACAAUGGGCGCAAGCCUGAUGCAGCCAUGCCGCGUGUAUGAAGAAGGCCUUCGGGUUGUAAAGUACUUUCAGCAGUGAGGAAGGUGGUGUCGUUAAUAGCGGCAUCAUUUGACGUUAGCUGCAGAAGAAGCACCGGCUAACUCCGUGCCAGCAGCCGCGGUAAUACGGAGGGUGCGAGCGUUAAUCGGAAUUACUGGGCGUAAAGCGCAUGCAGGUGGUUUGUUAAGUCAGAUGUGAAAGCCCGGGGCUCAACCUCGGAAUUGCAUUUGAAACUGGCAGACUAGAGUACUGUAGAGGGGGUAGAAUUUCAGGUGUAGCGGUGAAAAUGCGUAGAGAUCUGAAGGAAUACCGGUGGCGAAGGCGGCCCCCUGGACAGAUACUGACACUCAGAUGCGAAAGCGUGGGGAGCAAACAGGAUUAGAUACCCUGGUAG
rnacentral:rRNA from 1 species